GCGGGUGUGGUGGAUGGUUCACAGCUGCCUGAAGUGUGGAUAUUUUCUAGCUUGUGGAAGUAGCAGAACUGGGUUCGACUCCCGGCACCCGCA